ACGGACUCCUACGGGAGGCAGCAGUGGGGAGUAUUGCACAAUGGACGAAAGUCUGACGCAGCAACGCCGCGUGGAGGAUGACACAUUUCGGUGCGUAAACUCCUUUUAUAUAAGAAGAUAAUGACGGUAUUAUAUGAUUAAGCACCGGCUAACUCCGUGCCAGCAGCCGCGGUAAU
rnacentral:rRNA from 1 species